rnacentral:lncRNA from 1 species
CAAUCGCAUCUUGGGUUUGAGCAGGUGUUAGACAAUUGUAUCCUGAGUUUGAGCAGGUGGUUAGUGGGGGCAAGAAUCUACUUCAAAGUCUUGAGUCACCAAGACCACCAUAUCUUGGGUUGAGUACACUUUGUGGGGUACAAAGUACAGAAAUCAAUCUAUUAUAAGAAAACAGCUUUCAUUUCAGUUUCUCAGAAACAGCUCUUGUAACAGUUUUUUUAUAGAAGGCAGCAGAAUGGAGUCCUAGGCCUGUCUAUGACAGUUUUUGCUUUAUAAUUAUCUUAACUCACUUAUCAAAUUCUAUAUCUAUAAUCUAUAUUUUUUACUAACCUAUAACCUAUAACUUACACUCUUAUUGAUUGUAUUUGUCAUUUCACACCACAGCAGGACUACAUGCACAUACCACUGCCCCUAGCCUAAGUAUUGCAUUUUUGAAAUGGAGCACUUGUCCUCCUGGACCUUAAAGUCUGUAGUGAAGGAUGUAAAUUAUAAACAGACAGUUACCAAACUGUGCAGUAAGUACACCCCCCCCCCCAAAGUCCAGGGUGGCUUGGGGCUACAGUAGAGGACUCUUAACUCAUAUUUUGGGGAGUUCCUGAGAGGAAAUAAAAUCUAAGCUAAGAAGUAAAGAAUGAAUGGAUGUUGUUCAGUCUAGUGGAAGAAAGAGGGAGAGAAGUGCUCCUAGAGAAGGAAUAGGAGAGGAAGAGAGAGAUGACUUGUUCACCUUAUUCCAAUAUAGUGAGACUUUAAAGCAUUUUAAGUUGGGAAAUGACUUGGUUAAAAAAUACAUUUUAGAAAUUUAUUCUAAUGGUAAUAUUGGAGGCAAAGAGGCAAGUUAGUGGGUCAGUUGUGUCUGGCUAGAGAGGGUGAUGUCUCAAGUGAAGGCCUUCACCCUGGAAAUUCCGAGAAAGACAUGGAUGGGUUUGAGAGAUACUUAAAAGGUAGAACUGCAGGGACAUGGUCACUUAUUGGUUUAUGAAGGAGGAAGAACAGAAAGGAGUGAAAGAUGGUACCUUAUAUACUAGCUUGGUCACUGGGUAGAAGCUGGGUAGAAUACUUCACUAGGCUACUGAACACGGAAGAGGAACAGGUUUAGGAGUGAUGACAGCCAGUGAGUUCAUUGGGGCAUAAAGAGUUAGUUUUGAAGUCAAGGGAUGAGGAUUAGAUAUGGGAAUUUUGAAAUCAUCAGCAUAUGGUUGUUUAUUGAAGUAUUGGGACUUUAUGAACUAGCAUGUGAAGGAACCAUAGGAAGAAGCUAAAAAUUUAUGGGACAAAUGGAAUCACUGUCAGAUUGUGAUAAGACGUUGGGCAAUUGUGAUCAUUUUUUUUCCUCUUCAAUUUUUUAUAUGAAAUCUAUCAGCCAGGCAUGGUAGCACAUGUCUGUAAUUCCAACUACUAAGAGGGCUGAGGCAGAAGGAUCUCCAGUUCAAGGUUAAUAUGAGUAAUACAGGAAGAUCUCCAUCUAAACAAAUAAAACCCAUGAAAUCUAUCAAACAUACAGAAAAGUUGAAAAAACUGUUCAAGGAAUACCUAUGUAUCCUCCACUGAAAUGAUUGCUAAUAUUGCCAUACUAGCUUUAGGUGUGGCCAUAUUUUUCAUUUUGUUGAAUUAUUUGAGAGUGGUAGGUAUGAUAUUACACUUCAAUAUGCAUUUUCUAAAAACAGGGACCUUCACUUAC